AUGGGAGCAGCGAUAGAUGCUGACGACGACGAGGAGACAGAUGCAGAUGAAUCAGAGGAGGAGGACAAGGAUGAGGAUGACAAUGAAGAAGAUGCAGAGGAGGAGGAGGAUGAGGAGGAAGAGGAGGAGGAGGAGGAGGAGGACAAACAAGAAGAGGACAAAGUAGAGGAGGAGAACAAGGAAGAAGAUAGUGAUGCAGAGGAGGAGGAAGAAGAAGGUGAGGCCAGAGAGGGGGACGGGGACAAAGGGGCAGCAGUUGAUGGCAGUGAGAGGGGAGAAGACAAAGGCGCAGCAGCUGAUGGCAGUGAGAGGGAAGAAGACGAGGAUGAAGAAGACUAG
rnacentral:rRNA from 1 species